rnacentral:lncRNA from 1 species
GCCUUCCGAUGACCACCGUAACGCGCGGCCAUUGUUCCUCGCCUCCUAGCGUGCAGUUUCUUCGCGAAACUUGCCGAGCCACAAGUCGCGGCCGGGCCCACCCGCCCGAGUACCACCGAAUGCUCUUGUUUAGGCCCUCUAACAGCGUAGUAGUAGUAGUAGUGGCAGCCCGCCAACUUGCCGCACUUUUUCCUGCUUCUGCUGCCGACCGCGCAACCACCCUGCCGGCGUCGGCCCGCCCACAUGGCGUCGGACGACGGUGCUUGCACGCUUUGCGAGCUCCAUGACAUUUCUCUCUUCCUUCCUACCUCGCCAGUGUAACGCAGCACUGCCGUGCCCGAUAUCGUUAGUACGAACCGAAGCUUGCGAUGUCGCCCACGUGGACGGUGCCGAAGCAGGUGGCGGCAGUGUGGUCGAGCUGUCGUCACAAAGUCAAUAAUACGGUGACAUGAUCCGUCCCGUAAAUUCCCGAAAGAUGAUAACAACCGUGGUGUAACGCAGCGCUACCGUGUCCGAUAUCGUUAGAACGAACCGAAGCUUGCGGUGUCGCCCACGUCGACGGUGCCGAAGCAGGUGGCGGCAGUGUGGUCGAGCUGUCGUCACAAAGUCGAUACGGUGACAUGGUCCGUGCCGUAAAUUCACAAAAAGAUGAUAACACACGUGGUGUAACGCAGCGCUACCGUGUCCGAUAUCGUUAGAGCAAACCGAAGCAGGUGGCGGCAGUGUGGGUGAGCUGUCGUCACAAAGUCGAUACGGUGACAUGGUCCGUGCCGUAAAUUCCCGAAAGAUGAUAACACCUGUGGUGUAAUGCAGUGCUACCGUGUCCGAUAUCGUUAGAACGAACCGAAGCAGGUGGCGGCAGUGUGGGUGAGCUGUCGUCACAAAGUCGAUACGGUGACAUGGUCCGUGCCGUAAAUUCCCGAAAGAUAACACCCGUGGUGUAACGCAGCGCUACCGUGUCCGAUAUCGUUAGAACGAACCGAAGCAGGUGGCGGCAGUGUGGGUGAGCUGUCGUCACAAAGUCGAUACGGUGACAUGGUCCGUGCCGUAAAUUCCCGAAAGAUGAUAACACCCGUGGUGUAACGCAGCGCUACCGUGUCCGAUAUCGUUAGAACGAACCGAAGCAGGUGGCGGCAGUGUGGGUGAGCUGUCGUCACAAUGUCGAUACGGUGACAUGGUCCGUGCCGUAAAUUCCCGAAAGAUGAUAACACCCGUGGUGUAACGCAGCGCUACCGUGUCCGAUAUCGUUAGAACGAACCGAAGCAGGUGGCGGCAGUGUGGGUGAGGUGUCGUCACAAAGUCGAUACGGUGACAUGGUCCGUGCCGUAAAUUCCCGAAAGAUGAUAACAGCCGUGGUGUAACGCAGCGCUACCGUGUCCGAUAUCGUUAGAGCGAACCGAAGCAGGUGGCGGCAGUGUGGUUGAGCUGUCGUCACAAAGUCGAUACGGUGACAUGGUCCGUGCCGUAAAUUCCCGAAAGAUGAUAACACCCGUGGUGUAACGCAGCGCUACCGUGUCCGAUAUCGUUAGAGCGAACCGAAGCAGGUGGCGGCAGUGUGGGUGAGCUGUCGUCACAAAGUCGAUACGGUGACAUGAUCAGUCCCGUAAAUUCCCGAAAGAUGAUAACAACCGUGGUGUAACGCAGCGCUACAGUGUAACUAUUCUUCUCUUCGCGUGCAGUUUCUUCACGAAACCUGCCGAACCACAAGUCGCGGCCGGGCCCCCUUGCCCGAGUACUACCGAAUACUUUUGUUUAGGCCCUCUAACAGCACAUCAGCAGCAGUGCGUCAGCCCGCCAACUUGCCGCACUUUUUCCUACUUCUGCUGCCGACCGCGCAACCACCUGCCGGCGCCGGCCCGCUCACAUGGCGCUCGGACGAUGGUGCUUGCACGCUUUGCGAGCUCCAUGACAUUUCUCUCUUCCUUCCUACCUCGCCGUUGGCUUCGGCAGUCGCGCGCUCUUUUCCGCUGCCGACGCCUUUUAAUUUCUUUCAGUAGUAGUAGUAGUAGCAAAUACCGAAACCCUGGACAGGGGAUCACUCGGAUCGUCCAUCAAUGAAGAGCGCGGCUAUCCGCGUGAACUGAUGCCAAGCCUCUUGAUGGUUCUAGAAUGGACUUUGAGAAUGGAAACUACAGAAUGAAUGUUGGUAACAUUACAGAAGCUCUGAAUGAUCUUAACCUCGUCAACAUUGCUCAGACAUCAACGAGUGUUUAAAGAAUCCUUGUCGUUA